rnacentral:rRNA from 1 species
AGUUUGAUCCUGGCUCAGGAUGAACGCUGGCGGCGUGCUUAACACAUGCAAGUCGAGCGAAGCACUUAUGCGGAAGUUUUCGGAUGGAAGCGUAAUUGACUGAGCGGCGGACGGGUGAGUAACGCGUGGGGAACCUGCCUCAGUACAGGGGAAUAACAGUUAGAAAUGACUGCUAAUGCCGCAUAAGCGCACACUGUGGCAUCACAGGGUGUGAAAAACUCCGGUGGUAUGAGAUGGCCCCGCGUCUGAUUAGGCAGUUGGCGGGGUAACGGCCCACCAAACCGACGAUCAGUAGCCGACCUGAGAGGGUGACCGGCCACAUUGGGACUGAGACACGGCCCAAACUCCUACGGGAGGCAGCAGUGGGGAAUAUUGCACAAUGGGGGAAACCCUGAUGCAGCGACGCCGCGUGGGUGACGAAGUAUUUCGGUAUGUAAAGCCUUAUCAGCAGGGAAGAAGAUGACAGUACCUGACCAAGAAGCCCCGGCUAACUACGUG